UACAGAGGUGGCAAGCGUUGUUCGGAAUUACUGGGCGUAAAGGGCGCGUAGGCGGUUCGUCAAGUCCUGUGUGAAAUCCCCCGGCUCAACUGGGGAACUGCACAGGAAACUAGCGGGCUUGAGUUCGGGAGAGGGAAGCGGAAUUCCGGGUGUAGCGGUGAAAUGCGUAGAUAUCCGGAGGAACACCGGUGGCGAAGGCGACUUCCUGGACCGACACUGACGCUGAGGCGCGAAAGCUAGGGGAGCAAACGGG
rnacentral:rRNA from 1 species